rnacentral:rRNA from 1 species
CCUACGGGGGGCUGCAGUCGAGAAUCUUCGGCAAUGGGGGAAACCCUGACCGAGCGACGCCGCGUGCGGGAUGAAGGCCCUCGGGUUGUAAACCGCUGUCGUAAGGGAACAAAUCCAUGGGGGUACUCCCCUGUGGUUGAGUGAUCUUAGGAGGAAGGACGGGCUAAGUUCGUGCCAGCAGCCGCGGUAAGACGAACCGUCCGAACGUUAUUCGGUAUCACUGGGCUUAAAGAGUUCGUAGGCGGCCCGGCAGGUGAGGUGUGAAAUCCCUCGGC